rnacentral:rRNA from 1 species
AAAAACAUGUCUUUUUGAUUAUAAUUUAAGGUUUAAUCUGCUCAAUGAAAAAUUAAAUAGCUGCAGUAUUUUGACUGUGCAAAGGUAGCAUAAUAAUUAGUCUUUUAAUUGAAGGCUGGAAUGAAUGAUUGGACAAGAAAAUUUCUGUCUCUUUUUAAUUAUUUUUGAAUUUUACUUUUAAGUUAAAAGGCUUAAUUAAUAAUAAAAGACGAGAAGACCCCAUAGAGUUUUAUUUUAUAGAUUGGUUUAGUAUUAAUUAAAAUCAAUAAAAAUUAAUUGGGGUGAUUUAAAGAUUUACUUAACUCUUUAUAAUUUAAUCAUUAAUUUAUGAAUUUGAAAUCUAAUAUUUUUAAAUUUAAAUUAAAUUACCUUGGGGAUAACAGCGUAAUUUCUUUUAAAGAUCUUAUUGAAUAAGAAGAUUGCGACCUCGAUGUUGGAUUAAAAUUUAAUUUAGGUGUAGAAGCUUAAAUUUUAAGUCUGUUCGACUUUUAAAAUUUUACAUGAU